UACGGGGGGGGCAAGCGUUGUUCGGAAUUAUUGGGCGUAAAGAGCUCGUAGGCGGUUUGUCGCGUCUGCUGUGAAAACUGGAGGCUCAACCUCCAGCCUGCAGUGGGUACGGGCAGACUAGAGUGCGGUAGGGGAGAUUGGAAUUCCUGGUGUAGCGGUGGAAUGCGCAGAUAUCAGGAGGAACACCGAUGGCGAAGGCAGAUCUCUGGGCCGUAACUGACGCUGAGGAGCGAAAGCGUGGGGAGCGAACAGG
rnacentral:rRNA from 1 species